AUCCCUUUUCAUUGGCUCGGACUUUCACGGGCAGAUGCAGUAGCUAUCUUCCUCGACCUCGAUCGGCUCUUCAACAGUUUGUUCGCGGCAGCAGAUCUGAACUUGACUGUUUAACACGAUACCCAAGAGCUACCUGGGGUCUACAAACUUCACAUCCAGGAUCCAUCUGCCUCUGUGGAGAAAAGGAGAGAAGUGGUCCUGAGAUGCCUGAUUGAGUACAUGGGGGAGAGACAGGAAGACCUCAUCAGUGUCUACCAUAAUCGUGCUGAAACAGAGGUGCACGCUGAGCUUUGCAGUUGCCCACUGAACAUUUACAUGUGCCAUCAUCCCGACACAACUGGUAUUAUCAUCGAAGGACAGCCCGUGGUCAGAGGUUUGCCAAACCUGUCAAAAGCAUGCUGCCUCCUGUUUGGACUUGCCUAUGCUCUCGACCUCAAGUAUCCAUCAAAACUGGUGUAUGGUUUUGAGAUAUAUCAGAGGCUUUUUGUUGGAUUGGACCCCAUGCGUCCUAAGCCAUCAUCCAAGUACGCAAAUCUCCUCAACAAGUUGUCUUAGAUGAUUUCUCAAUGGAAUCUGGCUGACUUUUUUUUCGCUGACUUUUUGGGACUUGGGCUUAUUCACCGUAUCCCCCAGAGUUAGAUAA